GGCAGGCACCAGAAGAGCUAGCAGCCAAUCCGGCCAUGCUCGAAGCCAGCUCUGCAGCUCAGCCAAUCAGUGACAUCAUUGCUUUCUUUAGCUUGCCCAUGGUGAUGUGAAGAUGAGAAGAAAUAGCAAGGCCCAACCAGUUCUUCAUCUGGAGACAGUUCAACGUUCUGCAAACCAGAUCUUCAGGAAUUUUACUGGGAUAAUUAUCCAAAUAAAUUGCAAGCAUUCUAUCCAAAUGAAACUUACAACCAAGUUGAAAAGACAAGAGCCAUAAAAUAAAAUAAUAGCAAAUUAAUAUAAAACCUGGAUAAAGAAUGUAAUAACUAGAUGACCAAUUUGAGAGUGCUUAUUGGGACUUAUGAAGAAAAAGAAAUUGAAAAAAGGAGCUCUUUCUGAGAUGAAGAGAAUUCUCAAUGUCAAGAUUUGAACAAGAAGAGAAUGGAAUACACAAUAUGGACAUCCAUAAAAAUUCAUCAGAGAGCAUUUUACUACUGAGCUGCAAAGGUAGGAAAAAUAAAUUUUUUUUGGUUAGAAAAUAUACUUCUUUCAUCUGCGUUUCAAUAAUUUAUUCCCCUUGUUAGAUAUACAUGGAAUUGAUAUUGCUUAUUCUGACUAAGUGAAAAGUGUUAUUUCUACUUACUGCUCAAUUAGAAACAUGUAGUGUUUAAUUGUCAGUUUGAAUUUUUCUUUCAUACUAUUACAGUUUAUAUUUUACUAUAGGCAGAAUUUCCUCUUUAUCCUAAAUUUUGAUAUUCUCCAUAAUUUCAUCGUGCCUUGACAUUGCUGUAUAUAAUUUCUAUACAUCAGGAAGGCAAUUCUGUGUGCAUGUGUGUGUGUAUAUAUAUAGUUAGAAGUUAGAAACUGAAACUCUUUUUUGUCUACCAUCAUUUCAUAUUUUUCUUGCUAUUUCAAACCUAUAAUUUUUAAAGAAACGACUAACGUAAUCAUUCAUAGAAUAUGCUGUCAGUAACUUAACAAUAUAAAUGUUAACAUGGAGGCAUUUAGUUCAGCAUUUGCUUUACUUAAUAGAGUGCAGAAAAUGUGGCCCUUUUCUCAGUUAGGGUGUAUGUGAAGAUAAAUUUAGAAUUUCUAGACUAGUAAAUACUUCUCUGAUAAUAACUUAAUUAUAGCUAUUUCAAACCAAAUUGUUUAAUUGUGGUGAAUCAUAUGUAAAUUGUUCAGAUGUAGGUCAACACCCACGCCCACAUUCUAGCACCUCUUUCCUAAUUCAAGACAACUUUGCAGUGCCUAAAAGAGCUGAACAGUGCAGAUUAGAGACAUAAGACAAAAAAAAAAAAAAAACACAAAACAAUGGUA
rnacentral:lncRNA from 1 species